UUUUUUUUUUUUGUUUUUUUUUUUCAGGAGAAACUACAACCUACCCUACCCUCCUCUAAUUAUUUCUUCUCUACCAAAUUUCUCAACGUACCUAUUUCUCUGGUCUUUCCCUCAGCCAGAUGCUGGCUUCCCAUUUCAUCUAGUACCCCCAGGAAGCCAUUUAUCUACUCCCUCUGAUGGAGAGGCAUUUGUCUGCAAUUGAUUAAAGUAGAUGUAUAAAAAAGGUCUAGGUUAUUUUAAAUUUCUAUGUAAGAGAGACACAUAUUCAGGGGCAGACAGUCUAUGCUUCCCUCCAUGUAUGUGCCUUGAAGAACUUGCUGUGACUCUGAUUUUCAAGCUCAAUUUCAUAUUCUACAAUGUAAUUGGGAUAGCUAUUGAUACCCUUGGCCCUGCAACUUUUAUAAGUGGUCACAAGUUAGCAUUGUAGAAUACCAAUGGGAGGAAAAAUAUUUGCUAUUUGACAUCAAAAUACUACCAACUACUGUAUUUUUAAAAAAUAUCUCAUGAUUUCUAUUCCUUGUUUGGGAAAGUCUGUACCUAGUUUUUCAUCAUUAAAUUAUGUUAGCAGUGACUGAUUUUCAUAUGCAAUAAAGAAUAGAUUUUAAGUAAAUUAAA
rnacentral:lncRNA from 1 species